rnacentral:lncRNA from 1 species
ACUUGUGUUCUGGCUCUCUUCUCUGGAGCACAGAUGACAGCGGACAUGGUACAAUGGUCAGGAAAGGUAACUGCCAAGUGUUUGUUACUUUGGUUUUGAAUAUAAUUUACUUAAAUUUGACUUUAUGGCUGAGCAUGGUGUGAGUGUAACCCCAUCUGGGCUGUGGACACAAGAGACUCUUGGGUUUCAGGCCAGCCUGGGCUGUGUAGUGAGUUCUAGGUCAGCCUAAGCUACGCUGCAAGCUGAGGUCUACACAAAGUUACAAUUUAAAUCAUUUGAGUUCAGAUAAUGGCUCUAACAGCUGUGUGUAAAAUUUCCAAGUAUCUAACACUUGGCUCUCAGGUCAGGAGGAGGCAGUUGCCCGCCAUCCCUAUCACGGCCUCAGCUGAUCACAGGAAGAAAGGUCUGAACAAAAUUACUUCUAGUCAUUGUAUCCAUCUUUAGACGAGUCACCUGUUCACCAGACUGGCUCCAAACUGGCUGUAGCUGGCUGAACUCCUUCCCAAUUGCUUAGAUCACAGGAGUGAGCAGCCAGGCCUCAUGAGAACUUUGAAACAGACUGACCCUUCAAAGAUGUCUAUCCGCUGACAAGGGCUCAUUACCUUACGUGAGAAGUAACUGUUGUCAGCCACAUCUUGAGGACAAGGGGUGAUCUUGGGUGAGGGGUGCUCUUUGCCAAAAGGAAAUUCCCAGAGAAAGACCAGCAACAAGCAAGCACGAGGGAGUGUUUUAAUCCUGAGCAGCAUCAGAGGACACCCAGAGUAGCCCCUGGGGCCAUGUACCACCCAGAGUAGCCCCCGGGGCCGUGUACCACCCAGAGUAGCUCCCAGGGCCGUGUACCCUGUGGUUUUAUUUCAUUUUCCGUUUUGGAACAAUGUCUGUCAUGCUUUCAUUGAAACUUACGGUUCUAUCAGGGUAUAGUGGAACACAGCUUUAAUCUCAGCACUGGGGAGUCAGAGGCAGGCCGGUCUCUGAGAGUUUGGAGCCAGACUGGUCUACAAAUCGAGUUCUGGGACAGCCAGUAAGACUUUGUCUCAGAAAAAUCCAAACCAAACUAAAACAAAAACUGCCAAAACUUCUGGUUCUUGUGUGUGUACGUAGUCUUUCCUUAUUGUAGUUUUAGAUAUAAUACUUUUAUUGUUAUCAUAUUUUAAUAUAUCAGAUUUUUUAGCCAGCUUUUUUUUUCUUUUUAAUAUGUUUUGAGAUUAUAAUUAUAUUGUUUCUUUCUUGCUUUUUCUCUCUCUCCAAACCUUCCCAGCCACCCCCUUCAAAUUCAUGGCUUCUUUUUUUUUAAAAAAAAAUUUUUUUAUAUAU